AGUGAACGCUGGCGGCAGGCCUAACACAUGCAAGUCGAGCGGCAGCGCGGGGGCAACCCUGGCGGCGAGCGGCGGACGGGUGAGGAAUUCGUCGGAAUCUGCCUUUUUGUGGGGGAUAACGUAGGGAAACUUACGCUAAUACCGCAUACGUCCUACGGGAGAAAGUGGGGGACCGCAAGGCCUCACGCAGAAAGAUGAGCCGACGACCGAUUAGCUAGUUGGUGGGGUAAAGGCCCACCAAGGCGACGAUCGGUAGCUGGUCUGAGAGGAUGGUCAGCCACACUGGGACUGAGACACGGCCCAGACUCCUACGGGAGGCAGCAGUGGGGAAUAUUGGACAAUGGGCGCAAGCCUGAUCCAGCCAUGCCGCGUGUGUGAAGAAGGCCUUCGGGUUGUAAAGCACUUUUGUCCGGAAAGAAAUCCCUGGAGCUAAUACCUUCGGGGGAUGACGGUACCGGAAGAAUAAGCACCGGCUAACUUCGUG
rnacentral:rRNA from 1 species